rnacentral:rRNA from 1 species
UGGGGAAUUUUGCACAAUGGGGGAAACCCUGAUGCAGCGACGCCGCGUGAUUUAGAAGGCCUUCGGGUUUUAAAAAUCUUUUUUACGGGAUGAAAAUGACAGUACCGUAAGAAUAAGGUCCGGCUAAAUACGUGCCAGCAGCCGCGGUAAUACGUAUGGACCGAGCGUUGUCCGGAAUCAUUGGGCGUAAAGGGUACGUAGGCGGCCUAAUAAGUUAGAAGUGAAAGAAUAUAGCUCAACUAUAUAAAGCUUUUAAAACUGUUAGGCUUGAGAGAUGAAAGGGAAAGUGGAAUUCCUAGUGUAGCGGUGAAAUGCGCAGAUAUUAGGAAGAAUACCGGUGGCGAAGGCGACUUUCUGGUCAUCAUCUGACGCUGAGGUACGAAAGCGUGGGUAGCAAACAGG